AACUUAUAGUUCUAUUAGGGAAUAUUUCACUUACACUGGAAGGGUUCUUGUGUGAUUCAAGAUUGGUUGAU
rnacentral:tRNA from 1 species